GACGUAGGGCGCGGGCGUUGUCCGGAUUUAUUGGGCGUAAAGAGCUCGUAGGCGGCUCGUUGCGUCGGCUGUGAAAACCCGCAGCUCAACUGUGGGCUUGCAGCUGAUACGGGCGGGCUGGAGUUCGGUAGGGGAGAUCGGAAUUCCUGGUGUAGCGGUGAAAUGCGCAGAUAUCAGGAGGAACACCAAUAGCGAAGGCAGCUCGCUGGGACGGUAUUGACGCUAAGGCGCGAAAGCGUGGGGAGCAAACAGG
rnacentral:rRNA from 1 species